rnacentral:rRNA from 1 species
GAUGAACGCUGGCGGCGUGCCUAAUACAUGCAAGUCGAGCGAACGGACGAGAAGCUUGCUUCUCUGAUGUUAGCGGCGGACGGGUGAGUAACACGUGGAUAACCUACCUAUAAGACUGGGAUAACUUCGGGAAACCGGAGCUAAUACCGGAUAAUAUUUUGAACCGCAUGGUUCAAAAGUGAAAGACGGUCUUUCUGUCACUUAUAGAUGGAUCCGCGCUGCAUUAGCUAGUUGGUAAGGUAACGGCUUACCAAGGCAACGAGGCAUAGCCGACCUGAGGGGGUGAUAGGCCACACUGGAACUGAGACACGGUCCAGACUCCUACGGGAGGCAGCAGUAGGGAAUCGUCCGCAAUGGGCGAAAGCCUGACGGAGCAACGCCGCGUGAGUGAUGAAGGUCUUCGGAUCGUAAAACUCUGUUAUUAGGGAAGAACAUAUGUGUAAGUAACUGUGCACAUCUUGACGGUACCUAAUCAGAAAGCCACGGCUAACUACGUG